GAUAACAACUGGUGAAUCUGGAUGAACAGCAUAUUAGAGUUUUUGUACCACUCUGGAAAUUUGAACUUUUUAAAAAAUUUGUAAGUUUUAAAUUACUUCAAAAUCAAUAAUUUAAAAAAUUAGCUCUUUCUGCCAUCUUUCCAUGCCGCCAUAAUGGUGCGCAUGAAUGUCCUGGCUAAUGCUCUCAAGAGCAUCAACAAUGCCGAAAAGAGAGGCAAACGCCAGGUUCUUAUACAGCCGUGCUCCAAAGUCAUUGUCCGGUUUCUAACGGUGAUGAUGAAGCAUGGUUACAUUGGCAAAUUUGAAAUCAUCGAUGAUCACAGAGCUGGGGAAAUUGUUGUGAACCUCACAGGCAGGUUAAACAAGUGUGGAGUGAUCAGCCCCAGAUUUGAUGUGCAACUCAAAGAUCUAGAAAAAUGGCAGAAUAAUCUGUUCCCAUCCCGCCAGUUUGGUUUCAUUGUAUUGACAACUUCGGCUGGCAUCAUGGACCAUGAAGAAGCAAGAAGAAAACACACAGGAGGGAAAAUUCUGGGAUUCUUUUUCUAGGGAUGUAAUACAUACUUACAAAUAAAAUGCCUCAGUGGGAAAAAAAAUAAAAAUAAAAAAA